rnacentral:rRNA from 1 species
UACGUAGGGGGCAAGCGUUGUCCGGAAUUAUUGGGCGUAAAGAGCUCGUAGGCGGUUUGUCGCGUCUGCUGUGAAAACUCGGGGCUUAACUCCGGGCCUGCAGUGGGUACGGGCAGACUAGAGGCAUGCAGGGGAGAACGGAAUUCCUGGUGUAGCGGUGAAAUGCGCAGAUAUCAGGAGGAACACCGGUGGCGAAGGCGGUUCUCUGGGCAUGUCCUGACGCUGAGGAGCGAAAGUGUGGGGAGCGAACAGG